rnacentral:rRNA from 1 species
UACGGGGGGGGCAAGCGUUGUUCGGAAUUACUGGGCGUAAAGGGCUCGUAGGCGGCCAACUAAGUCGGACGUGAAAUCCCCAGGCUCAACCUGGGAACUGCGUCUGAUACUGGAUGGCUUGAAUCCGGGAGAGGGAUGCAGAAUUCCAGGUGUAGCGGUGAAAUGCGCAGAUAUCGGGAAGAACACCCGUGGCGAAGGCGGCUCUCUGGGACGGUACUGACGCUGAGACGCGAAAGCGUGGGGAGCGAACAGG